rnacentral:rRNA from 1 species
AACGAACGUUCGCGGCGCGCCUAACACAUGCAAGUCGAGCGAGAAAGGGCUUCGGCCCCGGUACAGCGGCGCACGGGUGAGUAACACGUAGGCAAUCUGCCCCUGAGUGGGGGAUAACCUUCCGAAAGGAGGGCUAAUACCGCAUGAGACCACGACCCCGCGAGGGGAUGAGGUCAAAGCCGGCCACUUCAUGAAAGCUGGCGCUUGGGGAUGAGCCUGCGGCCCAUCAGCUAGUUGGUAGGGUAAUGGCCUACCAAGGCAUAGACGGGUAGCUGGUCUGAGAGGAUGAUCAGCCCCACUGGAACUGAGACACGGUCCAGACUCCUACGGGAGGCAGCAGUGGGGAAUCUUGCGCAAUGGGCGAAAGCCUGACGCAGCGACGCCGCGUGAGUGAUGAAGGCCUUCGGGUUGUAAAGCUCUGUGGAGGGAGACGAAUAAGGCAUGGCUAACAUCCAUGUUGAUGACGGUAUCCCUUUAGCAAGCACCGGCUAACUCUGUGCCAGCCGCCGCGGUAAAAC